rnacentral:lncRNA from 1 species
CUAUAUGACUUCUUUUUUAGGCUAAUAUUUUUAGAACUAAAACUACUGAAUCUCUAUCAUUCCCUCUGUGUGUAAUGACCGUUGUCAACUCUUCACUGUGGAUGACCUACGGAUAUUUAAUAAAUGAUGUUUACGUUAUAGUAAGUAUAUUGGAGAAUACAUCAUAGUUGGAUUAUACUAAGUGCUCUCAUGCAGCAGAUAGUAUGGCCAACUAACAGUUUUGGAGUAGAUAUUAAACCAUGUUAAUUUUUUUUAUAAUAUUAGUAGUGUUGCAUCUGGUAUAUAGUCUGUAAAGAUACGAUGGUUUGGAAGCCAGGCAAAGUUCAAGGCCACAAAAUAGAAGAGCUUUGUUUGAUGUUGAACUGUACCUCACCCUACACAAAUCCUUCGUCUCAACUUCAUUAAAUAUUAUCCGACGUGGUUGCACUUUACAUCUCAGUUAUCGCCAAUUGGACGCUUACGUAAUUAUACGAAAAUACAACGCGUUUUAUAACCGUGACCGCGUACACGAAUCAACAUGAAAUCAGACAAAAACGGCAUAACACAAUGACUUCUGUAUACUGUAGUUUCCAGAAUCCAGACCAUCAUAUUUGGUAACCAAUAAGUGUAAUUUAGAGAUUUAGUUUAAUUUGCUAGUAUAACCUCAAAGCUUAAUUGCCUUUUUAAGCUUUUUUGGGUCCGUUCUGCCGGAUAGGAUAGCGAUUUUGUCAACCGUUGCCUAAAUGCUUACAAAGCUAUAAAAUUAUGGAUAUAGACUUCACAAUUAAUGAAGAGAAACUUCAAUUUAUAAAUGCUAAAGUUUAAUCUGGUUCUGGUUAUACCAAUCAAGGGCAAGGGACAAUUUUCGGAAGUAUGAAAAAAUCAUUAUCCGGUUUAUAAUGCCAUCUGGCUUUCGUACAACUGGCUUGGCCAGAAGUUGAGCACCAUCUGCUUUAUAAUACUUCCAACCUCCUGAAACCUAUCAACCACAAAAUUGAUAAGCUUCCCAGCUCAGGCCAAUAUUCACACUUUUUUUUCAUCGUUUCAGAUACCAAAUUUCCUUGGUCUUCUACUGGGACUCGUUCAAGUCGCGUUAUUCUGUAUUUAUCCAUCAAACGCAAAACCUGUCAUAGUUUCACUGUAAAACAGUAUCCUUCCCAAACGCAAUGAGUACUUGAACUUCCCGAGUCAUUGGAAAUUUUUUGCCAUGUUGUGAACUCUGUAUGACAUGGUGAAAUCUGUCCUCAAUGAACGGGAUUGUAACAUUUAAAUGUAUUUAACUAUAGUACAAUAUAUGGAAAUGUAACUAAUUGGCCCACGGAUGAUCCAAGAGCUUCACUACUUCAGGAAGGAAAAGAUAUAUAAUCUCGCACAGUGUAUAUGUCUAUAAAACGAGGAAACAGAAAGAUCUUCCGUGAAGAUGAACUAGUUGAGUCUAGUUCUGCUCAGAAGAACUUCCGUGCGUAAUUUCCAUUGCCAGAAAAGGUCGGGUUACAGUAUUCUAGAUGGUUCGAAUAGGACGAAUAGUAUAAACGUGUUGCCUUGUGAUCGAUGAUCCGUUCUCAAGUAACAAACCAAAUGUAUCAAUUAUAUUUUUACACGUAUGCAAUAUUUCUUUUCAAAACAAAAGAGCCGUCGAACCAGGCGUGUCUUCCAAUAUUAUCUGCAUCCGAAUCAGAGCGAGCUUCCUGUGUUUAUUUUUAACCAUGAAUUAAUAAUGAUCAUAAAUUAUACCUAAUGAUGAGCCAACCCCUGUAGCUUUGGUAUAAACAAUAUUAGAUGACCCCUGGUUCUGACCUGGUUUCAGUACAUGUCAACAUAUUUUGAAUAAUACAGUGUCGUUUAAUUUGAUACAUCUCUUAAAACCAUUUAUCCCUGCUGGCUCUUUGCUUGCCUGUCGCCUUUCGUGGAAAUCAUGUCGUUC